rnacentral:rRNA from 1 species
CAGACAGAGCAUAGUCCCCUCUCAAAGACAGAGAAUGACGAUCCUGUCAGAUCACAGAAGCUAAGCAGGGUGGGCCUAGUUAGUACUUGGAUGGGAGACCACCUAGGAAGACCAGGUCCUGUAGGC